AUUGAACGCUGGCGGCAGGCCUAACACAUGCAAGUCGAGCGGAGCGGCGGACGGGUGAGUAAUGCCUAGUAAUCUGCCUGGUAGUGGGGGAUAACGUCCGGAAACGGGCGCUAAUACCGCAUACUAUCAGAUGAGCCUAGGUCGGAUUAGCUAGUUGGCGGGGUAAGGGCCUACCAGGGCGACGAUCCGUCACUGGUCUGACAGGAUGAUCAGUCACACGGGAAGUGAAAAACGGUCCAGACUCCUCGGGGGGGCAGCAGUGGGAAAUUUUGGACAAUGGGCGAAAGCCUGAUCCAGCAAUGCCGGGUGUGGGAAGAAGGUCUUCGGAUGGUAAAGCACUUUAAGUUGGGAGGCGUUACCAACAGAAUAAGCACCGGCUAACUUCGUGCCAGCAGCCGCGGUAAUAC
rnacentral:rRNA from 1 species